GUAGGGCAAAUCAUCAAACGGAAUAUAAAGCAGGGCAAAUUAUCAACUGCCCAAAUAAAGUGGGGCAUAUUAUCCAAUCUCCCACGGUUGGACUCCAGGAGCUGCCGAGGUUGUCCUCACCAAGGAAGCGGCCGACAGCGCAAGGGGGGGCUCGUCCUUACGUGGUGCUCAACCGGGGAUUGAGAUUUGGAGGGAGACUAGGGAGACCCCGGCGAAAACGAGCGUGCUAGCGGAGGCUCCGGGAAUGCAGGGUGAUAGGGCCCAGUCUAUGCUCCCGUUGUGUUGUUGAAUUUUCAGGAUGGGCCUUCCUAUCCAUAAGUUUGUCUUUAUACUGCAUAUUAAUUCACUCUUUUAGCUUCUGGACGGGAUUUAGACAAGGAAACGGAGACCCGUGCAAAAUCGAGCAUCCUGGUGGUGCCUCGACCAAAGCGGGUCGACGGAUAGCGCCGGUGAGCACGGAGCAUGGUGCAGCGAGUUGGAUAGGCGGCAAGAGAGGUGACCACGGGUGUGGCUUGGGGAGCUCCGCACACAUGAAGUGAUGAUGAGUGCAUCCGACCCCACCAUGCUGCUGGUCCUGGAGAACAAGGUAUUGGCAUUUGUCAUUGUACAACACUAGCGAACCGGCAAGCAAUGAAGUUGUUUAUUCCAUUCCCCUGUAAACUAUGAACUGAAUGGCUACUGUGUUGAUGCAUAUUUGUUUAACUGAAGUUUAGUUUUAUUAUGUCCAUACCUUUGAUUUGUUCUACUUUAGUGUGGUCUGAGAUAUAAUGAUUUAUUACAUGUGUAUCACAUAUCUAUUUAUACUUACUUUGGAAAUUGCAGCAUCCUCUCCUAACUGUCCGAAUGGGGGCUUUUAGCUAAUUAUUACCAAACACUGAAAUUUCUAAAACUGAAAAGAUAUUAAAGAAACACAAACUGUUUCAGAAUACUCCAGGAUUGAAUUUGGGCAUUGCGCCUUAAUAAGAUAUCAAUCAAAAGCUUAGUGAAAAAUAAAUAUAUUACCAACGCGAGGUACUGAAUUAAAAUGUGCAUCUACAUCUUAUUGUACAGAACAAGCUUACUUAUUUUAAUUAAAGGGGUAUAUAUAUAUAUCAAAUCAGUAUAGUCCUUUUUAACUUUGAGCUAACACAGAAAAUUGUAUAGAGAAAAUUUACGAUCGCAUUUUGAAAACUCUAUUGCAUAGUUUGAACCUUCAAUUUUCAUUACUAAAAGGAUCGUUGGUAUUGCCAAAUUGCCAAGCAUUUAUUUUCAAUUACUCUUGGUUUGGCAUGGACACUGUGCCAUUUGGCGCCAUUCGAUGCCCAACUCCUAUCAUUUGUUGCAUUUAUCUAUUCUAGAUAAAAUGAAAUGAAUCUUCAGUGUUGGGACUAAUGAUUGACACUUGUUGUCUAAAUGCAGUACAUGCGCAUUGCAGCGGUAAUGUUGUUAACUGUCCCUAUAUAUUCCUUUGUUAGAUGUCUAAUAAAUCAAGAAUUUGACACUUGUCAGUAAGUUCAGUAUAUCAUCGUUUACUUAGACAAAAUACAUCAUGGUCAAACAAUACAAAUAUUUCACAAGUAGAAAAGGCAUACAAAUAUUAAUUUCCAGUAAAAUGAUGAAGUGUUCAGAUAUAUCAAUGCUUUCACCUCACUUGUCAUGCUGUUAUGAACUAUAUUUUUUGUGUAAUUGCUAUAUCAGAAUCGAAGUAACCCAUUCGACGCUUGACUGUAUCUUAGCAUGCUUAUUGAGUACAUUCCUUAUGUCAUUUUUACAGAUAAAUUAUUUUGUGUCAAGUAUCGCUUUUUGCCAUAUGGACAUGACAAGUUGUCAUACAUCGGCCUGUCAAAUUUAUCGGGUGCCAAGUUCACUUGCCAUAUUCUCAAUUUUGUUUCUUCUGAUUUUGGUGUUGGUGUGUGUAUUGUUAGUGAAAAUAUGCUCAUAGUUUUUUUUUAAAUAUGUGUACGCCAUUAACUGAUGUCAUUGUGUUUUCCAAGGGUAUAUGAACCAGAAAUGAUGUGAUAUACUUGGUUAUUUGAACAUGAAGGUCAACCGCGGGGUGGCGCGACAUGGGUGAGCUGAAAUUGUUCUACUGAUUCCUUGAUGCUCUGUUCAUUGCUUUGUUCUUAUUUUAUCGUUCUUUAUUUGCUUUGUUCUUUCCUACAAGAAGAUGCCGAGUCGUGUAAUAUGUUCAAAGAAGUGAGAAUCUGCAUUUUAUGAAUGUUUUCUUCUUUCUUCAUUGUUACCUCAAGUCAGUGAAUUCAGUUAAGUUGUACUGAGCAGCUUCAUACGCAUGAUUUCUCCAUCUACACAUCUUAUUCAGUCAUGAGGCCAUUAAGAUCUUUUUGACAUUUAUAAAAAGGGUGAUGCCAAUUAGACGUUACCGUGUCCAACUUGAUCUUUAACUUGCUAUUACUGUUGGGAUCUGCACAUUCAAGGAUUUUUCAUUAAAUCAUCGGUUCACCAGUUCUUUGUUACUUGAGAUAUUGUGAUAAACUUAUAUCAUUGCUUACUAUACAUAUGUCUGGAUGAUGCCUGCAGGCUCAUUACAAGCUUCAGCUGGAUCAAAUAGUGGGCCUUCUAUAUAUAUAUAUAUUCAGCUGUAUCAUUUCUUACUAUAUAUAUCUUUCUGUCGACCAGACAAAACCAUACAUGGAUCCUUUGCCUCCUUUAUUGCUCAGACCCCAUGAUACAACCUUGGCGGUUGUCCAGCGACUAACAGGGUCCUCCACCGAUGGUGAAAAUACCUCACAUGAUGAUGUUGGAUAUUCUUCUACAAACUUCUGGCCUACCAGUGGCUGAGUAUCGAAGCAAAAUGUGACAGUUGCAUGAUGUGCUUGACUGUGUAUUUGCAUACAGCAAUAUCAUCUUUUGGAGAUAUAAACAGCCGUAUGGCUGUUACAUGAGACCAUGUCGGAAGACCCUGCUGCUAUGUAAGGAAAAGGAUUCAUGAUACCCGCGGUGAAAACAGAGAUAAGAUGAUACAGUUAGAGCAGCAUUGAGAAACCAAGGACACGAAAUGAGUCUGAAAAAUGCUAUGGGCUGAUUCGUUCUAGCUAGGCUAUGUGUGGUAGAAGUUGUACUCACAGGAAGACUAUCGUGCUUUGUAUAAACCACGUUCUAUGAUUCACUUCUAUUAUGCUUAUUUACAUUCCAGUGUUAGGACUGAAAUCCAUCUAUUUAAUGAAUUUGGUUGUAUUGGCAUUACCUAUUUGACUUAGGCUUGGUUCAUCACAUAUAGACUGUUUUUCUUGUAACCCGCUACUUGUAUGACCUAAAACUGUCAUGUAUAAGGCAAGUUAUUAGCAAUGUUUCACAUUUUCUUA